rnacentral:rRNA from 1 species
CACGUAGGGUGCGAGCGUUGUCCGGAAUUAUUGGGCGUAAAGAGCUCGUAGGCGGUUUGUCGCGUCUGCCGUGAAAGUCCGGGGCUCAACUCCGGAUCUGCGGUGGGUACGGGCAGACUAGAGUGAUGUAGGGGAGACUGGAAUUCCUGGUGUAGCGGUGAAAUGCGUAGAGAUCGGGAGGAAUACCCGUGGCGAAGGCGGCCUGCUGGGAUACACCUGACGCUGAGACACGAAGGCGUGGGGAGCGAACGGG